GACGAACCGUGCGAACGUUAUUCGGAAUCACUGGGCUUAAAGCGCGUGUAGGCGGGCCACCACGUCGGCUGCUGAAAUCCCCCGGCUCAACCGGGGAACGGGCACCGAUACGGGUGGCCUGGAGGGGGGUAGGGGGGCCUGGAACUUCCGGUGGAGCGGUGAAAUGGCGGUUGAGAUCGGAAGGAACGCCCGUGGCGAAAGCGAGGCCCUGGACCCUUACUGACGCUGAGACGCGAAAGCCAGGGGAGCGAACGGG
rnacentral:rRNA from 1 species